rnacentral:rRNA from 1 species
AGACCCGAAACCCGGUGAUCUAGCCAUGGGCAGGUUGAAGGUUGGGUAACACUAACUGGAGGACCGAACCGACUAAUGUUGAAAAAUUAGCGGAUGACCUGUGGCUGGGGGUGAAAGGCCAAUCAAACCGGGAGAUAGCUGGUUCUCCCCGAAAGCUAUUUAGGUAGCGCCUCGUGAAUUCAUCUCCGGGGGUAGAGCACUGUUUCGGCUAGGGGGCCAUCCCGGCUUACCAACCCGAUGCAAACUGCGAAUACCGGAGAAUGUUAUCACGGGAGACACACGGCGGGUGCUAACGUCCGUCGUGAAGAGGGAAACAACCCAGACCGCCAGCUAAGGUCCCAAAGUCAUGGUUAAGUGGGAAACGAUGUGGGAAGGCCCAGACAGCCAGGAUGUUGGCUUAGAAGCAGCCAUCAUUUAAAGAAAGCGUAAUAGCUCACUGGUCGAGUCGGCCUGCGCGGAAGAUGUAACGGGGCUAAACCAUGCACCGAAGCUGCGGCAGCGACACUGUGUGUUGUUGGGUAGGGGAGCGUUCUGUAAGCCUGUGAAGGUGUGUCGUGAGGCAUGCUGGAGGUAUCAGAAGUGCGAAUGCUGACAUAAGUAACGAUAAAGCGGGUGAAAAGCCCGCUCGCCGGAAGACCAAGGGUUCCUGUCCAACGUUAAUCGGGGCAGGGUGAGUCGACCCCUAAGGCGAGGCCGAAAGGCGUAGUCGAUGGGAAACGGGUUAAUAUUCCCGUACUUGGUGUUACUGCGAAGGGGGGACGGAGAAGGCUAUGUUGGCCGGGCGACGGUUGUCCCGGUUUAAGCGUGUAGGUGUGUGUUCCAGGUAAAUCCGGUUCACUUUAACACUGAGGCGUGACGACGAGGCACUACGGUGCUGAAGCAACAAAUGCCCUGCUUCCAGGAAAAGCCUCUAAGCAUCAGGUAACAUCAAAUCGUACCCCAAACCGACACAGGUGGUCAGGUAGAGAAUACCAAGGCGCUUGAGAGAACUCGGGUGAAGGAACUAGGCAAAAUGGUGCCGUAACUUCGGGAGAAGGCACGCUGACACGUAGGUGAAGUGAUUUACUCAUGGAGCUGAAGUCAGUCGAAGAUACCAGCUGGCUGCAACUGUUUAUUAAAAACACAGCACUGUGCAAACACGAAAGUGGACGUAUACGGUGUGACGCCUGCCCGGUGCCGGAAGGUUAAUUGAUGGGGUCAGCGCAAGCGAAGCUCCUGAUCGAAGCCCCGGUAAACGGCGGCCGUAACUAUAACGGUCCUAAGGUAGCGAAAUUCCUUGUCGGGUAAGUUCCGACCUGCACGAAUGGCGUAAUGAUGGCCAGGCUGUCUCCACCCGAGACUCAGUGAAAUUGAACUCGCUGUGAAGAUGCAGUGUACCCGCGGCAAGACGGAAAGACCCCGUGAACCUUUACUAUAGCUUGACACUGAACAUUGAGCCUUGAUGUGUAGGAUAGGUGGGAGGCUUUGAAGCGUGGACGCCAGUCUGC